UACAGAGGUCUCAAGCGUUGUUCGGAUUCAUUGGGCGUAAAGGGUGCGUAGGCGGCGCGGUAAGUCGGGUGUGAAAUCUUGGAGCUUAACUCCGAAACUGCAUUCGAUACUGCCGUGCUUGAAGACUGGAGAGGAGACUGGAAUUUACGGUGUAGCGGUGAAAUGCGUAGAUAUCGUAAGGAAGACCAGUGGCGAAGGCGGGUCUCUGGACAGUUCCUGACGCUGAGGCACGAAGGCCAGGGGAGCAAACGGG
rnacentral:rRNA from 1 species